ensembl:lncRNA
CUAAUGGUAGCAAUUGGAGUGUCUCACCUCCAUUUUAAUACUUGAACUCUUAAUUAUUGCUCAGGAGUAAGACCCUCUCAACUCCUGAUGUAUUUAAGGUUUCCCAAGGGGACGCUACUGAGAAGCUGGCUCACCAAGUCCCGGCCCAGACUGCUGCUGCUCAUCGCGGGGUUGAAAAGGCCUCAGGUGACCCUCAUGCGGAGGAAAAGGAUGAAGCGCACGAAAGUAGCAAAGGCCACAUCAUGCAUCGGCCACUUGGACACUGAAAAACUGGUCCAAGCUAUCAUUUUAUCUAGGCUGGACUACUGUAAAGUUAUCCUCACUGGCUCUCAUGAUGAAACCAUCAACAAACUAAGAACCUGCAAUCGAAUGCCGCAUUUCAGUUGAGGCUUUGGCAAAGAGGAUCUCCCCACCUGAGUUAGAUAUGAAAGACGAAGACAUGGAAGAACUACGUUUUGAAUCUUUGUCAAAGCAACGAACUAAAAGCCAAAGCAAACAGAAAAGGGGUUUAGCGUCUUUUGUGAAAACAAGGGACCUGCAACAUAGAUCUAGACCCCCUGAUUAAUCGAGAUCUUCUCCUACACGCCCAUUUGUAUAUCACUUCAAAUACAAAUUUGUUAUGGUUCAUUAUAGUACAAUGAGUGUGACUUGUACAUUAUUUACAUCCAGUGGCACACAUUUAGUUUAACAGAACUAUCGCUGUGUUCUUAGGAUAGAUCUUUUCCAGUCAGAGAAUGAUUUGUUUCACAUAAGCACAUUUGUGUUUGAGUGGGUGAAUAAGAAAAUAGUGCCACUCUGUGGCUAGCAGGUGCAAAUAUCUAAACCACAAGUAGGUACACAGCAUUAAUGCAACUCUGGGCCAAUGAAAGGGUCACCAUUAAUGCAACUCUGGGCCAAUGAAAGGGUCACCAUUAAUGCAACUCUGGGCCAAUGAAAGGGUCACCAUUAAUGCAACUCU